rnacentral:rRNA from 1 species
UACGAAGGUGGCUAGCGUUGUUCGGAAUUACUGGGCGUAAAGCGCGCGCAGGCGGUCCUUCAAGUCAGGGGUGAAAGCCCAGAGCUCAACUCUGGAAUGGCCUUUGAGACUAGAGGACUUGGGUACGGGAGAGGUGAGUGGAAUUCCCAGUGUAGAGGUGAAAUUCGUAGAUAUUGGGAAGAACACCGGUGGCGAAGGCGGCUCACUGGCUCGUAACUGACGCUCAGGCACGACAGCGUGGGGAUCAAACAGG